rnacentral:rRNA from 1 species
GAGUUUGAUCGUGGCUCAGAUUGAACGCUAGCGGGAUGCCUUACACAUGCAAGUCGAACGGCAGCACGGACUUCGGUCUGGUAGCGAGUGGCGAACGGGUGAGUAAUGUAUCGGAACGUGCCUAGUAGCGGGGGGAUAACUACGCGAAAGCGUAGCCAAUACCGCAUACGCCCUACGGGGAAAGCAGGGGAGUCGCAAGACCUUGCACUAUUAGUAGCGGCCGAUAUCGGA